rnacentral:rRNA from 1 species
AACCUUACCUGGUCUUGACAUCCACAGAAGAAUCCAGAGAUGGAUUGGUGCCUUCGGGAACUGUGAGACAGGUGCUGCAUGGCUGUCGUCAGCUCGUGUUGUGAAAUGUUGGGUUAAGUCCCGCAACGAGCGCAACCCUUAUCCUUUGUUGCCAGCGAUUAGGUCGGGAACUCAAAGGAGACUGCCAGUGAUAAACUGGAGGAAGGUGGGGAUGACGUCAAGUCAUCAUGGCCCUUACGACCAGGGCUACACACGUGCUACAAUGGCGCAUACAAAGAGAAGCGACCUCGCGAGAGCAAGCGGACCUCAUAAAGUGCGUCGUAGUCCGGAUUGGAGUCUGCAACUCGACUCCAUGAAGUCGGAAUCGCUAGUAAUCGUGGAUCAGAAUGCCACGGUGAAUACGUUCCCGGGCCUUGUACACACCGCCCGUCACACCAUGGGAGUGGGUUGCAAAAGAAGUAGGUAGCUUAACCUUCGGGAGGGCGCUUACCACUUUGUGAUUCAUGACUGGGGUGAAGUCGUAACAAGGUAACCGUAGGGGAACCUGCGGUUGGA